CCUACGUGAGGCAGCAGUGAGGAAUAUUUGUCAAUGGCCGUAAGGCUGAACCAGCCAAGUAGCGUGAGGGAAGACUUCCCUAUGGGUUGUACACCUCUUUUAUGCGGUGAUAAAGGUGUCCACGUGUGGAUGUUUGCAUGUACCGCAUGAAUAAGGACCGGCUAAUUCCGUGCCAGCAGCCGCGGUAAUACGGAGGAUGCGAGUGUUAUCCGGAUUUAUUGGGUUUAAAGGGUGGGCAGGCGGAGGUGCAAGUCAGCGGUCAAAUUGCGGGGCUCAACCCCGUACUGCCGUUGAAACUGGAUGCCUUGAGUGCGCGAGAAGUAUGCGGAAUGCGUGGUGUAGCGGUGAAAUGCAUAGAUAUCACGCAGAACUCCGAUUGCGAAGGCAGCAUACCGGCGCGCAACUGACGCUGAUGCACGAAAGCGUGGGUAUCGAACAGGAUUAGAUACCCGAGUAGUC
rnacentral:rRNA from 1 species